CUUUCAACUCGCAGGUGCCUGGGACUUCGGGGUACUGAUAGGUUGCCGGGGAAGUUGUUCGAUGUUGCUCCUUGCAGGGGCGGGACUGGGACGUAGUGGGCUGGCUUUCCGGUGCAUUGUACCCUGGGGGUGCGCGGCUUAGAGGUUGCCACUUAGCAAGAGGGAAGUUGCAGCUAGUAGGCUGGCCCGUGGCUCAUUUUAUUCUGUGGGUUGGGCCUCAGUGUGGUCUGUGGAGACUGCGGCCUGCCCGCCAGUGGGAGUGCGCCGCGCGGCGAGCGAGGCUGAGGCCACGCGGAAAGCCAGCAAAGGCUUCGCAGGCUUUGAGAAAUGUGGUCCUGGAAACCUUCAAGCCAGUUCUGCUCUGACGUGACCAAACAGCACUGUAGCAGUGAGAAGGAGACUGCUGAGCCUAGAACCCCAUAGGACAACCUGAAAUGCAUCUGCUCGGUGAGUGGUGCAGGCCUGGAAAAACCCAGAAUGAGGGACUCCACUGGAGAG